CAUCAGCUAAAGUCAAAAUUUUUCAUCAACGACAUCCAUCAAAACCAAGAUGAAAAUCUCUCUUAUAAAAGAGACAAGAUUGAGGCAAGAUAACAUUCAAUUUCCUAUCCUUGUUUGUAACUUCUUUGUAUUUGUGAUGCUAAUUAGAUGGAGAGCCAACAACCAGCGGAUUCAACUCAAGAACCUUCGUUUGUUGACCUGCCGGACGAGACAUUACGAUUGUCACAACCUUCAAG
rnacentral:lncRNA from 1 species